AGGACUAACGCUGGCGGCGUGCCUAACACAUGCAAGUCGAACGAGGUAGCAAUACCUAGUGGCAGACGGGUGAGUAACGCGUGGUCAACCUACCUCUUAGUGGGGGAUAACUAGCCGAAAGGUUAGCUAAUACCGCAUACGAUCGUCGCGAGGCAUCUCGUGACGAUGAAAGGAGCAAUUCGCUAAGAGAGGGGACUGCGUCCCAUUAGUUAGUUGGUGGGGUAAUGGCCCACCAAGACUCCGAUGGGUAGCUGGCUUGAGAGAGCGACCAGCCACACUGGAACUGAGACACGGUCCAGACUCCUACGGGAGGCAGCAGUGAGGAAUUUUUCCGCAAUGGGCGCAAGCCUGACGGAGCGACGCCGCGUGUGGGAAGAAGGCCUUCGGGUCGUAACCACUGUCGAAGGGGACGAUAUUGACGGUACCCUUGGAGGAAGCCCGGCUAACUACGCGCCAGCAGCCGC
rnacentral:rRNA from 1 species